AGUGAACGCUGGCGGUAGGCCUAACACAUGCAAGUCGAACGGCAGCACAGUAAGAGCUUGCUCUUACGGGUGGCGAGUGGCGGACGGGUGAGGAAUACAUCGGAAUCUACUUUUUCGUGGGGGAUAACGUAGGGAAACUUACGCUAAUACCGCAUACGACCUACGGGUGAAAGCAGGGGAUCUUCGGACCUUGCGCGAUUGAAUUAGCCGAUGUCGGAUUAGCUAGUUGGCGGGGUAAAGGCCCACCAAGGCGACGAUCCGUAGCUGGUCUGAGAGGAUGAUCAGCCACACUGGAACUGAGACACGGUCCAGACUCCUACGGGAGGCAGCAGUGGGGAAUAUUGGACAAUGGGCGCAAGCCUGAUCCAGCCAUACCGCGUGGGUGAAGAAGGCCUUCGGGUUGUAAAGCCCUUUUGUUGGGAAAGAAAAGCAGCAGGUUAAUACCCCGCUGUUCUGACGGUACCCAAAGAAUAAGCGCCGGCUAACUUCGUG
rnacentral:rRNA from 1 species